rnacentral:rRNA from 1 species
GAUUUCUGACGGGGCGCACCUGGCCCGCCACGGUUACGUGUGUGAGUGCCGGGCUGCGCCUGUCACUUGUUCUGGUUGCCUCAUGUGGUCCUUCAUUGGGCCGUGUGAUCGGUGUGCCAGAUGUUUUACUUUGAAAAAAUUAGAGUGUUUAAAGCAGGCGUUGUCGCUAUGAAUACAUUAGCAUGGAAUAAUAAGUUAGGACUUUGGUUCUAUUUUGUUGGUUUCUAGAAUCUUGGUAAUGAUUGAUAGGGAUAGUUGGGGGUGCUAGUAUUCAGCGGCCAGAGGUGAAAUUCUUGGAUUCGCUGAAGACUAACUUAUGCGAAAGCAUU